UACGUAGGUGGCGAGCAUUGUCCGGAUUUAUUGGGUUUAAAGGGUGCGUAGGCGGCUUUGUAAGUCAGUGGUGAAAUACUCUAGCUUAACUAGAGGGGUGCCAUUGAUACUGCGGAGCUUGAGUACAGAUGAGGUAGGCGGAAUUGACGGUGUAGCGGUGAAAUGCUUAGAUAUCGUCAAGAACACCGAUAGUGAAGACAGCUUACUAGGCUUCUACUGACGCUGAGGCACGAAAGUGUGGGGAUCAAACAGG
rnacentral:rRNA from 1 species